UUUUUUUAUUGGAGUUCAAUUUGCCAACAUAUAGCAUAACACCCAGUGCUCAUCCCAUCGAGUGCCCCCCUCAGUGCCCAUCACUGUUCCUGGCAUUUUAAGGCCCUGAAUAUUAGAGAUAAUACUCCUUGUGGAGGGAACAACAGACUGAGACAUUCAUCCGAUACAGCAAUGGGUCUCUACAGAGAAACUUAAACUAGCCCACGUGGCAGACACCUGAAGCACAGAUAUUCUUUACUGACUGUGGACACAGCCUAAGCCAUAUAGAGUAAGGAAUAAGAAUAUAAUUCUAAGGAAAUAUAAGUUCCCACAAAUUAAAUUGAUUUCAUUCAUGCUCCAGUUGCCCUGUUCAUUUCUAACGUUUUUUACACUGAUAACCUCCUUCCCAACUUCUCUGUUCAUGCUUGGGCUCACACAUUCUCUUAAUCUGUUAAUUAUCUGCAUUAGUUAUUCAUCAAAUACUACAUACCUUUGGUUGGAAUCUGACCAAGUAAUAAAAAAGUUUGCUCUCCUAGGAAUAACUUACAAAAGACAAAUCUAGAUUUCAUCAUACAAUGGCACAUAGAGUACUCUCCGGAGAGCUUACCAUUAAAACAGAGCUAUCUAUCCCUUUCUUUCAAGCAAUGUGGAUUCUGACAAUUUCGGCCAAAAGUAAAAUAUUUGAAAACCACAAGAAUAUUUAUGGGUAAAGAUGCUACUUAUUUGUUUGUUACGCUUUCAAAAUCAUGCUCUACCCUGGGUGUUAUACUACAUGUUGGCAAAUAGAAUUUAAAUAAUCUUUGUAAAUCAUGCUCUACAGACUUUUGUCAUGCCUUCUGUUAGAAAACACCAACACCAUGCAUAGGUACCAGAUAUUAACCUGGUAGGUUUAAAAUGCUUCUGUUUAUCAAAAUUGAGAACUACUACAUGUGCAAGAAUCUAACAUGACAUUUUUCCUUCUUUCUUUCCCCUUUUCCAAAUCAAUCCAAUUACAAUAGCUCCCAGAACAGUAUGAGAGAAACCUCAUGAUUCACAACACAUAUAUAGUGAACAGCAAGGCGCUUCCCAAACCAGUAUUGCAUGUGGAGGGGCAACAAAAGACAGGAAAGAAAACAAACUGCCUGCAGUAAGAAAAACCAGAGCAAGGGAUCUGAGAGCUAACAGCGAACUUAACAAUAAGAACUGUGAUCCAAAGAACAGCUGAAGGAAAACACUACGAAUGGUGAAAUUCGAAAGGAAGAAAACUAGCUGGCAAAGUAAGGUGCCCCAGACAGACAGGGAUCCAAAGGUCAAAGCUGCCCAUGACCAUUAUGAUGGACUCAGAAAGCAACGCUUCUGUAAUUUGCUCUUUAAAAACUAAGACUGGAUCCAAAUGAUUAAAGUGUGGUUCUCAUACUAGUUGACCCCCAAAUGCAACCUGCUCCCAUGUUUGCUAUAUAUCAGAGCUAGAAAAAUGAGUCGAGAUAAGUCAGUUCCUGCGCUGAUUUAUUGCCAUCCAAUUAGGCAGCUCUCAGCUCACUGAUCAGAAACAAAGAUUAAAGGAAAAGAAGAUGCUAUAAAGGCUAAAACUUUGGCAAUUUCGUAUCUCAACCGACUACACAAAAAGAUAUGCAGAACCAAAUUUAGGAUAGGUUAUAAAUCACUUGGAGUGUUAAAGGAAAAAACAAAACAGAUGUUAACAUUUAAACAUGUUCCUUCCGAAUUUUGGUGUAUUGUUAUCUAACCGAUAAAAAUAUUUUUAAAUGAAGUGGAAAAUGCCCUUUUUGACUGUCUAUGCCAAACAUGCCCAAUACAAAAAGCUGCUGCAGAAAUGAAAGAUUUAUGAAAGUAGAGAAUAUCACACAGAUCUGAGUAUGUAGUGUUACUAUAAUUGCUAUUCGGCCCACUUCAUUCUAAUUGUUUAUGCCUUACUAAAUCAGCAAAAACACUCAUCAGGAUCAAUAUAUGAAUAGCUAACACCAUGUGGAUUGAGGGAUUUGUCUUGGUCCAACGGCUAUUUAACAGAUUACUACUCUGUUCAUUAGAGGAUGUUAAUACUCCAACAUAGUGUUUGCAAAAAUCCCAAGAAUUCUAAAUCAUAUUUUUAUUUUGUAUUUCUUAGGAAAAAAACGCAUGUAGAAAAACUAAGAUCAUCCUAAAGUUAGGAAAAUAAAAUAGUAACAAUUAGGGUCAGGAACUGUAGGAUCAAUAAAUGUGAUUUAUUAAUAGGUGAUAAACGUUUUCUCAGCAAGAGAUUCCGAUCAAUUCCGAUGUCUGUUUAGUAUCUCAGUGGUAGCAAGAUCUAUAAGGCAGAAAUAAGAUAGUGAUGGAGGGAGAGUGGAAGGAACGAAGGAAGCCCAGGUGUCAGAAAGCCUGGAUUGUAGAUCCUCCAUUGCAAAGCUGUAUGAUAUCUGGCAAGCCUUAACCUCUCCAAAUCUUGGUUUUCUCUUAGUACAUCAGCUCAACUUCUGUCCCAGAAUCACUGAGAUGAUUACAUUAGAUGGUGUAGGUGACAGUUUUAUAAAUUACAGAGCCCUAUGUCAUGCAAACAUAUUGCUACUACCAGUGUUUAGCUGAACAGAGAGACAAUAAGAAAUAAUGAAGAAUAAAUUUAAUUUGGUGCUGGGUUUAUUUGAUCAGCGAACACCGUUAAGUGUCAUUAAUUCAACUUCCAAUGUAGAUUUUCAAACUUAUUUACCCAAAGUGUUAGUUGGCUUAUUUUUUUUAAGGAUCUAUUUAAUAGGAAAAUGGAAUUUAACCAGAUAAUAAAUUCUUUUCUUUCCUUGAGGUACACAGACACAAAUGUAAAGAAACCUUCAUUUUACUACCUGAGAUAUUUUUAAAAUAAUGACCUAUUGGUGGUCCCACCUUAGUCGGCCAGUACUCAAAAAUACAGAGCUUUGGAAUGAGUCAGACCAAGAAAGGCAAAUGCCAUAGGACUCCACUCCGCAAGCUCCCCCCACACUUACUCCUGGGUGGGAUACAUAUGUCACUCCUCCAGGAAGCUCCCAACACCUUAAUGUUCACGUCUUACUAGAGGGGAAACAACCUUAACUUGACAAUGGCAAGGCCUCCAGGACCCUGUAGGUCCUCUUUGGCAUAUAGAAGUUCUUUUGAAAACCUCCCUUUUCCUCACCUCCCCCAAUUCCCAAGUAUAUAAUCAAUCACCCCUCUCAGGCCCAGGUGCAACAGCUCUUUCUGCCCAUGGGUCCUGUUCCUGUGCCUUAAUAAAACCAGCAUUUUGCACCAGACAUCUCAAGAAUUAUUUCUUGGUCGUCGGCUCCAGACCUCACCCCAUCAAACUUCAUCUAUAUUGAAAAACUACACCAAGAGGAUAAUAGACACAAUUUCUGUAGGCAGAACGACAUGAAGAGGCUGAUUAGCCACGCAGUUGCUCAUGUUACCAAGAAACUAUCACUAGAAAUGUAUCCGGAUGGAGAAAACUGUAUUUUACAAAAUCCUCUCAGGGACAGGCUAUAUGAAAGCCUACUUGGGUUAAGUCUCCUGAAGUAGAGUGUCCCCUCCAGUGGCCAUAUCCAUGCAGCUCUGGUAAUGUGCGUUCUAGGGAGGUGGGCAGGACUUUCCAAGCCAGCCACCAGCAGCCCUCUUCGAACCUCUGCACCCACCAUGGCAGCCCCCUAAAUACUUGUUGAGGAAUAGAGAAUUGUUUAGAAGGGCACCAAAUGAUUGCCAUCCCAGGGCAGCCAGAUGUGACCUUCCACGAUCAGAUUUUUAUUUUAGAUGGUUCACUCUGGCUGCACUGUGGGUUGGAGGGGAGAUAAUAAGUCACAGAG
rnacentral:lncRNA from 1 species